GUAGCACAGGGAAAUACAUUCAGUAUCCUGUGAUAAACCAUCAUGGAAAAGAAGAUGAAAAAGAAUAUAUAUAAAACUGAAUCACUUUGCUCUACACCAGAGACUAACUCAACAAGAUAAAUCAACUAUACUUAAAUUAAAAAAAAAAAAAAGACCUGGAUUCUAGCCCAGAUCUCCCAGUGAGUUCCAGGAAGCCUUGGAGGGUCUCCUAAGCUCUCUAAGCCUCAGUUCCUGCAAAGGAAACAACAGUGAGAGGUUGGUGGGACCCUCUAGGGCUCUCCCAGCAUUAAAAUCUCAGUAUGUUUAGCCUCCAAGGCCAUGCUGACCCCCAUCCGAGCAGGGGAAGUGUGUUUAUUUUGAAUGAUUGCUGUUGCAAAAGUGACGGAAGAGGAAGAGAUCUUCUUCUCGGGAUAUCCAGGCAAAAGGCAUAGCCCUACUGCCAUUCCUGGGAAGCCCAUCCUGAAGCAGGUGGUGUGGUGACUGCCACUCGUAAGGAGGCACGAGGACCGUCACUACCGUCCAGGGACCAGCCCCGGCCCCCUGGAGAAAUGGUUCUGGAGGCUGCUGUGAGAGCACCUGUGAUGUGUCACCAGGCUCUCUUGUCCGGCCAUAGCCUGAAAGGAAGAGAGGCAGUGACCAGGGACUUCAGGAACAGUUGCUGUGAGCACUCAGAGCAAGACAGAGUGGCG
rnacentral:lncRNA from 9 species